rnacentral:rRNA from 1 species
AUUGAACGCUGGCGGCAGGCUUAACACAUGCAAGUCGAGCGGGGGAAGGUAGCUUGCUACCGGACCUAGCGGCGGACGGGUGAGUAAUGCUUGGGAAUCUGCCUAUUAGUGGGGGACAACAUCUCGAAAGGGAUGCUAAUACCGCAUACGUCCUACGGGAGAAAGCAGGGGAUCACUUGUGACCUUGCGCUAAUAGAUGAGCCUAAGUCGGAUUAGCUAGUUGGUGGGGUAAAGGCCUACCAAGGCGACGAUCUGUAGCGGGCCUGAGAGGAUGAUCCGCCACACUGGGACGGAGACACGGCCCAGACUCCUACGGGAGGCAGCAGUGGGGAAUAUUGGACAAUGGGGGGAACCCUGAUCCAGCCAUGCCGCGUGUGUGAAGAAGGCCUUAUGGUUGUAAAGCACUUUAAGCGAGGAGGAGGCUCUUUUGGUUAAUACCCAAGAUGAGUGGACGUUACUCGCAGAAUAAGCACCGGCUAACUCUGUGCCAGCAGCCGCCGUAA